rnacentral:lncRNA from 10 species
AUUGGCAGGGGCCGCUUCGGCAGAGUGAUGACUGAUGAUGAGUCCGAGAGCGUCCUCUCCGACUCCCAUGAAGGGUCGGAGCUGGAGCUGCCUGUUAUCCAGCUGUGCGGGCUGGUGGAGGAGCUCAGGUACCGCCGCCCGCGCCUGGGGGCCGCCCCUCUUCCUCCUAGGCCCUCCUCUCCGGGCGGCCUCGGACUUGGGGACCAGCAUGGAGAAGAUCCAAGCCCUCACUGAGCACUGGGGAGACUUUUCCUCUUUACUCCUUACUCCACCACCACUGAGCCAACAAGCUGUUGGUGGAGCUAGAACGGGGUGGUAGGGCGAGGGGAUGGGGCCGGUGGUGAGAAGCCCAGAGGGUAAUUGGGGAAGUGAGGGUUUCAGCCGGAGGAGUCUCUCUCAUGCCAGACGGUGUGCUUAGCCGAUCCACAAUUCUACAGCAGCAAUUUGGACCAGCUAUGUAAACUCUGCUCUCAAAACUGAGACUGAGAUGUUUG